rnacentral:rRNA from 1 species
UACGUAGGGAGCAAGCGUUGUCCGGAAUCAUUGGGCGUAAAGCGCGCGUAGGUGGCCUCAUAAGUCCGCUGUGAAAGUCAAAGGCUCAACCUUUGAAAGCCGGUGGAUACUGUGAGGCUAGAGUACGGAAGAGGCGAGUGGAAUUCCUGGUGUAGCGGUGAAAUGCGCAGAUAUCGGGAGGAACACCGGUGGCGAAGGCGGUUCUCUGGGCCUUACCUGACGCUGAGGAGCGAAAGCGUGGGGAGCGAACAGG